UACGGGGGGGGCGAGCGUUGUUCGGAAUCACUGGGCGUAAAGGGCGCGUAGGCGGCCCGCACAAGUCUGCGGUGAAAACCCCCGGCUUAACCGGGGGCCGGCCGUGGAAACUGUCGGGCUGGAGGCCGGGAGAGGGCAGCGGAAUUCCCGGUGUAGCGGUGAAAUGCGUAGAGAUCGGGAGGAACACCGGCGGCGAAGGCGGCUGCCUGGACCGGCCCUGACGCUGAGGCGCGAAAGCUAGGGGAGCAAACAGG
rnacentral:rRNA from 1 species